AAACCAACAGGGAUUGCCCUAGUAACGGCGAGUGAAGCGGCAACAGCUCAAAUUUGAAAUCUGGCCUUCGGGUCCGAGUUGUAAUUUGUAGAGGAUGCUUUUGGCGCGGUGCCUUCCGAGUUCCCUGGAACGGGACGCCUUAGAGGGUGAGAGCCCCGUACGGUUGGACACCAAGCCUCUGUAUAGCUCCUUCGACGAGUCGAGUAGUUUGGGAAUGCUGCUCUAAAUGGGAGGUAAAUUUCUUCUAAAGCUAAAUAUUGGCCAGAGACCGAUAGCGCACAAGUAGAGUGAUCGAAAGAUGAAAAGCACUUUGAAAAGAGGGUUAAAUAGCACGUGAAAUUGUUGAAAGGGAAGCGUUUGCGACCAGACCUUUUCCUAGCGGAUCAUCCGGUGUUCUCACCGGUGCACUUCGCUAGGUUUAGGCCAGCAUCGGUUUCUGUAGGGGGAUAAAAGCUCUGGGAACGUAGCUCCUUCGGGAGUGUUAUAGACCUCUGCAUAAUACCCUUACGGGGACCGAGGACCGCGCUUCGGCAAGGAUGCUGGCGUAAUGGUCGUCAACGAC
rnacentral:rRNA from 1 species